GGUAGGGCUGUGGGUGGCGGCUGGGUAAUACGGUGGAUCCGGAGGUUAACGGGAAGUACGGGGCGUAGAGCGGGGGGAGGCGGUUUGUGAAGCGAGAUGUGAAAGCCCUGGGCUCAACCUAGGAAUAGCAUUUCGAACUGGCGAACUAGAGUCUUGUAGAGGGGGGUAGAAUUCCAGGUGUAGCGGUGAAAUGCGUAGAGAUCUGGAGGAAUACCGGUGGCGAAGGCGGCCCCCUGGACAAAGACUGACGCUCAUGCACGAAAGCGUGGGGAGCAAACAGGAUUAGAUACCCGGGUAGUC
rnacentral:rRNA from 1 species